AGCCGGAGCCCGGAGGUCGCAGAACAGCGGCGGCGAUGGCCCUCCCCCGGAUCGAGAUAGACUGGGACCGCGUGUUCCGCAGCUCCUCCCCCGAAUCGCAUACCUUCUUCUACUCCAGGUCGGCGGCCGCGGAGGGGGGCGACGAGCCGCCGCCACCGUCCCCGGGUCCAAGUCGAAGAACCUCCGUGCCGCAUCGAGCGCGGCGCGGGCGUGCGCCGCCGCCAUCCCGCAGUGCCGGAGGCCGCCAAGGAAGAUGAGCGCGAUGGGGAAAGUAGCCCUGCAUCCGCUGCGAAGAAAUCACGCAAGCUUGGUUUGAUUCACACUCAGGGCGUGUUUGGAUGAUUAGAUUCCGAGCCGAAUCAAAUUCACUGAUCAGCAGACAACCCCUUCCUGUGAUUUUAUCUAUCUAACCCCAUUUUGGCAAUUCGAUUAGUCCUGGAUCUA